AAUAAUUCCAUACAUAUUCCUUUUGGCCAUCCAUGGAUAUUAGAAUGGAACAUUUUCCAUGGUGUUAAAUCCGCGGAAUAUCCAUGGGUUUUCCACGGAAUAAUUCGCUCUUUGCGCGUCCCCACGCGAUUACGUCAGUCUUGUGAAAUUCUUCUCAUAGGAAAGAACGCGAAAAGUGCUGAAUGUAUGCGAUGGAGACGGCACAGGGACCCCACAGUCAGAGAAGACUCGAGGUUUCCGGACAACGUCAAAGUAGGAGAAACAACUAAUGAAAAUAGGAUGCGGAAAAGCGGUUACCGGAGGAUCUACUUAUCCGACAGAGUGUGACUCAUGACAAGCAUUUCUCAAACAUAUCCGGACCGGUGCGAGAAGACAUCAAAGAGCAUCUCGACAUCCGGCGACCACGGUAGCAGUCGUCUAGAAGAGUAGCAGUCCCUGGGAAGCGGCAUAGCAGCCACCAAGGCAACGCGUCAUAAAAAUUUGAUACACAUUUGUAAGCUUGAUAGUUAAUAUUUAAUAAAUACAAAUCCAAAUAUAAAUGAAUCUUUUUUUU